CACGUCACUGGCGGUACAGUUCCUGGAGCUGGGCAGUCUUCUCAGAGUGGAACCUGAUGAUGAUUAUUCUCCAUCUUCUAAGAGACCAAAGACCAACGAGCCACCAGUUCCAGAACCUGCCAAUGUUGGGCAACAGAAAGUGAGGGAGUUCAACUCUGAUCUUUGUCUCCUUGGAGGCCCUCACAAUCCAGUGGAGGAAGUGAAACUCAUCUGCCUCUGUCCCUCUGGGUGCGCCUCAUGCCAGGUGCAUCUGUGGACAUGCGCCAUGCUACUGGGCUUCCAAAGUUGGAGAAAGUUGCCAGGCUCAGACGUGAACUUGUGAGUUCGACACAUGAAGAUUUACAACUUGAUAAACCAGCUUCAGGAG
rnacentral:lncRNA from 1 species